rnacentral:rRNA from 1 species
AAGUAACACGUGGAUCAUCUACCCUCUUGUGGGGAAUACCGUUGGGAAACCGACGACAAUACCGCAUAAGCUCGAGAGAGGAAAGCAGCAAUGCGCUGGAGGAGGAGUCCGCGGCUGAUUAGCUAGUUGGUGAGGUAAUGGCUCACCAAGGCUUAGAUCAGUAGCCGGCCUGAGAGGGCACACGGCCACACUGGCACUGAAACACGGGCCAGACUCCUACGGGAGGCAGCAGUGGGGAAUCUUGCACAAUGGGGGAAACCCUGAUGCAGCGACGCCGCGUGAGCGAUGAAGCCCUUCGGGGUGUAAAGCUCUUUCGGCAGGGAAGAUUAUGACGGUACCUGCAGAAGCAGCUGCGGCUAACUACGUGCCAGCAGCCGCGGUAAUACGUAGGCAGCAAGCGUUGUUCGGAGUUACUGGGCGUAAAGGGUGUGUAGGCGGUUGGAUAAGUGUGGUGUGAAAUCUCCCGGCUUAACUGGGAGGGUGCGCUACAAACUGUCUGACUAGAGUAUGGGAUGGGAGAGUGGAAUUCCUGGUGUAGCGGUGAAAUGCGUAGAUAUCAGGAGGAACACCGGUGGUGUAGACGGCUCUCUGGACCAUAACUGACGCUGAGACACGAAAGCGUGGGUAGCAAACAGGAUUAGAUACCCUGGUAGUCCACGCCCUAAACGAUGCAUAUUUGGUGUGGGUCAUUCAUUUGAUCCGUGCCGGAGCUAACGCGUUAAAUAUGCCGCCUGGGGAGUACAGUCGCAAGGCUGAAACUCAAAGGAAUUGACGG